UGCAGCGACAAACACUAAACAAAUCCUCCUCAUGAAUGGCGACAAAUAUUUGGACUGUUUCUGGAUCGUCAGAGUUGAACACAUUAGGAUGACUCAUGGCUGUCACACCUGCCGUCACCAUCCCAAAGCAGCAGCGAGAGCAGCAGCCGAGGGGGAAAACGCUGAGUUAGACUUCAUCAUCUGCAGGGUCAAACAAGCUCACCAUUAUUGACGCUACACUAAACUAGAAUUAGCUGACUAUACUAUUAUUUCACCGAGCCACUCACUCGCACAGACUGACUGGCUCUCUCUCUGCCUCCCCCGGCCUUGUCGGGCCUCUGCCACUAGGAGGCACUCUUCUCAUUCUCAAGCCGACCGGCAGAGGUUUCGCAUCCACGACGCAGAGACGUCUCAGACAUGGCAGAGCAGCAGAGAUGCCAGUCUGCCUAUACGUCCUUGCAGGUGCCGUUGGAGCUGUGUGCCGUCAGCCUGAGACAAUGCCGGCCUCAGAUUCCGACAGUGCGGAGCUACUCUCGCUCAUUAGCUGCCGCGCACAGUGGGCUCCUCCCUGUCCACUAGAAAGAGGAGUCGACUAUUAACGCUGUGACUGGCUGCUCUCCUCUCUGCUUUAUUCCUGAUUUGGACAGGUUUGUCCCGUUGAGCUCUCUAUUAGCUCUCCUUCUCUGUGGGGAGGUGCUGCCUGUGUGCUGCUCGUGGCCAGUGGACAUGUGUUUACUGCGGCCCCCGCUGCGGCGGCAGGCUGGUCGGGGGCCCGUCCUGACCGAGCCCCGCUAAUGGGCCCGCCGGACCCCUCGUGACAGGACGCCGCUGCGUUGAGCACCGUUGCGGACCCGGCCCCUCCCUCCGCUCCAGCUGUGGCCCCGUGGCAGGCGCUCCCUUACCCAUCAUGCCUCGGCGGGAGCAGGUGAACGGCGGAGGGCCAACGGCGGCGAGCUCGCUGUUCCUGGGAGAGCGGCGUGCCAUCGCCGCGCGCCUCAGUGGCUCCUCCAACAUGGCUCCGGCCCUACGCCACAUGGGCUGGCCGGCCAGUCUGUGUGUGCGUUUAAGUGUGCGACUGUGUGUGUGUGUGUGUGUGUGUGUGUGUGUGUGCGUGGUGGAUGCCAGCCCUAAUGCAAAUGCUCGCCGUUUAAAAAAUGGGAGCCUCUCUGCUACUCUGUCUCUCCUCUUUGGAAAAGUCUAUUUUGGCCUUCUGGUGCUGGCACUUAUUUUGUCCCUCUCCAGAAGGACGCCAAGCCAGAGAGAUGCACCUGUCAUCCAUUUUGGAAUUCCACAUUAUUGAUCUGGUCGGGAGGAUUGAAAUUUAAGUAGUUAUGUGGUUUUCAUCAGGAAUACUUAUUGAAUGGUGCUUCAAACCUACAUUCGAGCUGCUGUGUCUUAUUUAUGAGCAUGAUGCUAACUCCUGGCUAAUUCCUGCAACAGCAACACGCAAACCCACGCCGUCUCUGAUACACUCCAGCCACUGGAGAGACAUCCCAGCAUGCCCUCUCUCUCUGCACCCCUGUAAUUCUACAUAUUGCGUAGAGUAUGCGCUAAUUAAAUUUUCUGUCGGUUUGCAAGAGAAAUAAAUAAUCUGCAGCUAAAAGGCCUAAUUGCGUUUGUCACAUUGUGUCUCGGUGGCUGGUGCAACGGGAGCGCAGCCGCUGCCCUUGCUCAUUGCCAUUCUGUCGUCCUGGCAAGCCCCCGCGCUGCCCCAGGUAUCACCACGCGGCCAUCUGGAGCCGACAUCUGUCUCUCUAUUGAUCACAAGGGUUUAGCACUUGAUCAAACAGACUGCGACAGGAAAUUGCUCUUUUCCCCACAGAAAAGGCCAAUCGCCUGCGUGAGGGUAAUAGAGUGGAACUGAGAUGCAGCAGCAGCGCGGCGGGCAGGCUGCGGCGCCGGCGUCGGGCUCGCAACCUCGCUGCUGACGCCGUACGGCACCAGCCUGCGAUUGUGGAGUGCUCCAGUCUGAGCACACGACGACAACAAGAUCAGGCUGCUGUCACCUCUAAUUAAAAAAAAAAACCUGUCGUCUGUCAAGUCACUCAGGUAACUGUCUGAACCAACAGCUGUCUGAAAGUGCUGUAAAUGCUGAAUGCAAGGGAAAUAUGCUGCAUGAUAUGUGCAGCAGAUGGUGCGAAAAUCUACGUUCGUACUGGAAAAACAAAAAAAAAAACAACACAACAUGAAAAAGAGAAAAAUGCUGCAGAGCUGCAU